AAAGCUAAAAAAAUAAUUUGCCUUCUGCAGUUUCUUUUUUCUUUUAGUUUCAAAACCCUUCCUCCUGCUAGGGUUUCAAAUCACCUUGGUGCCGAUUGAUGAGCCACCUCGGUGGUUCGCCGCACCACCACUAUGGCCGGUGGCCGAUGGCAAGCGACCACGGGGAGAUGUCAGGUGGCGCGAUAGUAGCGUGCAGCGGCGCGAAGGGCAUACGAGGCGACCACGUGUGGUGCCGGGACUGGGGCAGAGGUGCAUGCGGCGCCCUAGGGCUUCCCUCUUUGCUGAAAAACUUUUGUUUGUGGGCUAGGGUUUUUUAAUUUUCUUUUGGGCCUAUUGGGUUUAGGCUUGUAGUUCUGAUUGGACUGUAAUUUUUUUACUUAUUUUUGGGUUGGUUGGUUUUGCUAGUGGGCCGGGCAGAAAAUGGGUCUUACACAUUCCAUUGUAUAUUGAAUUCUUAAGAGUAGUAGAAUUCUGAAAGAGAGUAUUCUUAAGAGGUUUGAUUGUUUGAACUUGUUUUUGCUUACAUCUUCUUUAUUUGGCAUGUAUGACUUCUUGGUGAAAAUGAAACUUUUGUUGCGUUAUGGAACGGGAGAUCAAAAUCAUGUAUUCAAACCCGGAGCAUGUUUUCUUGAGUUAUUGCCAAGUAAAGGUGACACUUCGAAAUGGUUUUCUCCUAAAGAGAGAGGGCAUGUGACUAAUAUUUUUACUUUUCAAGUUGUGUGUGUUAAUCAGAUCUUUGUGAGACACUCUCUUCCAUUUGACCACCAAGGGCCUUAUAAUGAUGUCUGCUUUGUCGAGGACACGUGGCUUAACUUGAGGACAAGUCGCUUUGAAGAGGAGGAAUGAUGCGAGCAUGUCCCGACACCCACCUAGCUCAAACAAGGAACCGAUGGUACUGCCCAAAGAUCCUAUAACGUGAGUUCGAGCUAAGCUCUUUAAAGAGGCCAUCUCGACCUUAGUCACUCGAAUAUGGGCUGAAUCAUUGACCGGACCCAUUGAAGAAGUUUGGACCAGCUCAACGAGGACUCAUUGCAAUCUCUUGCAAUUCGACCCUAGCUCCUUUCCAGCUCGCCGAACUCUGUUUAGCUCAAAUCAGCUCGUUUGAGCUCAUUCCAACUUAUUUCUAGCUCAUUUACUUUAUUUCUAGAAUAAACUAAGUGAUUACUUUAAUUUGUUUAUUUUGUUUCAGCUCAUUGAUUAGUUAUUAGCUCAUUACAGCUUAUUACAUUUUUUUUAGUAUAAUUUGAGCUAGCCAAAUUAAUGUGUCUUGAUAAGUCAAUAUUUAAUUUGUCUUAGCUUCAUUAUAUUUUAUUAA